CAUUAUCAGUAUUAGRRGCAAUGCCUGCCCAGUGACAUUAGUUAAACGGCCGCGGUAUCCUGACCGUGCAAAGGUAGCAUAAUCAUUUGUUCCUUAAUUAGGGACUUGUAUGAAUGGCCCCACGAGGGUUUGACUGUCUCUUACUUUUAAUCAGUGAAAUUGACCUUCCCGUGAAGAGGCGGGAAUACAUAAAUAAGACGAGAAGACCCUAUGGAGCUUAAAUUAAUUUGUUCAAUCAAAAUUCAAUUUUUAUCCAACAGGAAUAAUAACAUUUUAACUGAACAACAAAUUUUGGUUGGGGUGACCUCGGAGUACAAAAGAACCUCCGAGCGAUUUAACUAAGACAUACUAGUCAAGGCCAUAUAACUCAUUGAUCCAAUCAUAUUGAUCAACGGAACAAGUUACCCUAGGGAUAACAGCGCAAUCCUAUUUGAGAGUUCAUAUCGACAAUAGGGUUUACGACCUCGAUGUUGGAUCAGGACACCCAAAUGGUGCAGCAGCUAUUAAAGGUUCGUUU
rnacentral:rRNA from 1 species